GGGGAGAGGUUUUAGUCGGUAGGCGUCCUUCGGGAUGAAUCCGACACUACCCGGUCGCGCGGGCGGCCGGGUGUCUUUCGAAGAUUUCCUCUCCUCCACGAAA
rfam:Agrilus planipennis Contig17205, whole genome shotgun sequence.